rnacentral:rRNA from 1 species
AGCGAACGCUGGCGGCAGGCUUAACACAUGCAAGUCGAGCGGGCAUAGCAAUAUGUCAGCGGCAGACGGGUGAGUAACGCGUGGGAACGUACCUUUUGGUUCGGAACAACACAGGGAAACUUGUGCUAAUACCGGAUAAGCCCUUACGGGGAAAGAUUUAUCGCCGAAAGAUCGGCCCGCGUCUGAUUAGCUAGUUGGUGAGGUAAUGGCUCACCAAGGCGACGAUCAGUAGCUGGUCUGAGAGGAUGAUCAGCCACAUUGGGACUGAGACACGGCCCAAACCCCUACGGGAGGCAGCAGUGGGGAAUAUUGGACAAUGGGCGCAAGCCUGAUCCAGCCAUGCCGCGUGAGUGAUGAAGGCCCUAGGGUUGUAAAGCUCUUUUGUGCGGGAAGAUAAUGACGGUACCGCAAGAAUAAGCCCCGGCUAACUUCGUGCCAGCCGCCGCAGUAA